GGCUGCAAUCGUCUCAUUAUCAAUUCUGAUAAUAUGGAUGUCAUUGACAGAAUGAAGAACGGUGGAGAGUCUGCGGGAGCAGCGGCGGCAAUUUUUGACGAUUGUUUUUUUAUGGCCUGUGAUUUUCCACAAACUAGUUUUGAACAUUGUAAUAGAGAAGCGAACAAAGUAGCUCAUGAGCUUGCUAGAUUAGCAAAAUGUUCCAUGACUAGGGAUUGGAUAGAGGAGCCCAUGGAAAAUCUUGUAACUCUUCUGAUAGACGAUGUAACUAUUAUUUCUAAUUAA
rnacentral:rRNA from 1 species